UACGGGGGGAGCAAGCGUUGUUCGGAUUUACUGGGCGUAAAGGGCGCGUAGGCGGCCACUGCAAGUCAGUUGUGAAAUCUCCGGGCUUAACCCGGAAAGGUCAACUGAUACUGCAGGGCUAGAGUGCAGAAGGGGCAACUGGGAUUCUCGGUGUAGCGGUGAAAUGCGUAGAUAUCGAGAGGAACACCUGCGGCGAAGGCGGGUUGCUGGGCUGACACUGACGCUGAUGUGCGAAAGCUAGGGGAGCGAACGGG
rnacentral:rRNA from 1 species